rnacentral:rRNA from 1 species
AGUGAACGCUGGCGGUAGGCCUAACACAUGCAAGUCGAACGGCAGCACAGUAAGAGCUUGCUCUUACGGGUGGCGAGUGGCGGACGGGUGAGGAAUACAUCGGAAUCUACUUUUUCGUGGGGGAUAACGUAGGGAAACUUACGCUAAUACCGCAUACGACCUACGGGUGAAAGCAGGGGAUCUUCGGACCUUGCGCGAUUGAAUGAGCCGAUGUCGGAUCAGCUAGUUGGCGGGGUAAAGGCCCACCAAGGCGACGAUCCGUAGCUGGUCUGAGAGGAUGAUCAGCGACACUAGAACGGAGACACCGUCCAGACUCCUACGGGAGGCAGCAGUGGGGAACAUUGGACAAUGGGCGCAAGCCUGAUCCAGCCAUACCGCGUGGGUGAAGAAGGCCUUCGGGUUGUAAAGCCCUUUUGUUGGGAAAGAAAAGCAGCAGGUUAAUACCCCGCUGUUCUGACGGUACCAAAAGAAUAAGCACCGGCUAACUUCGUG